GCGCCUGUAGCUCAGCCGGAUAGAGUGCUGGCCUCCGGAGCCAGAGGUCGUGGGUUCGAAUCCCGCCGGGCGCG
rnacentral:tRNA from 2 species